rnacentral:rRNA from 1 species
AGAGUUUGAUCCUGGCUCAGAACGAACGCUGGCGGCAUGCCUACACAUGCAAGUCGAACGAACCCUUCGGGGUUAGUGGCGCACGGGUGCGUAACGUGUGGGAAUCUGCCCUUGGGUUCGGAAUAACAGUUAGAAAUGACUGCUAAUACCGGAUGAAGUCUUCGGACCAAAGAUUUAUCGCCCAGGGAUGAGCCCGCGUAGGAUUAGGUAGUUGGUGGGGUAAAGGCCUACCAAGCCGACGAUCCUUAGCUGGUCUGAGAGGAUGAUCAGCCACACUGGGACUGAGACACGGCCCAGACUCCUACGGGAGGCAGCAGUGGGGAAUAUUGGACAAUGGGGGAAACCCUGAUCCAGCAAUGCCGCGUGAGUGAUGAAGGCCUUCGGGUCGUAAAGCUCUUUUACCAGGGAUGAUAAUGACAGUACCUGGAGAAUAAGCUCCGGCUAACUCCGUGCCAGCAGCCGCGGUAAUACGGAGGGAGCUAGCGUUGUUCGGAAUUACUGGGCGUAAAGCGCACGUAGGCGGUUACUCAAGUCAGAGGUGAAAGCCCGGGGCUCAACCCCGGAACUGCCUUUGAAACUAGGUGACUUGAAUCUUGUAGAGGCGAGUGGAAUUCCGAGUGUAGAGGUGAAAUUCAUAGAUAUUCUGAAGAACACCAGUGGCGAAGGCGACUCGCUGGACUAGUAUUGACGCUG